GAUGAACACUAGGUGUCGGGGGAAUCGACCCCUUCGGUGUCGUAGCUAACGCGUUAAGUGUUCCGCCUGGGGAGUACGCACGCAAGUGUGAAACUCAAAGGAAUUGACGGGGGCCCGCACAAGCGGUGGAGUAUGUGGUUUAAUUCGAUGCAACGCGAAGAACCUUACCAGGGUUUGACAUCCUGCGAACCUCUUAGAAAUUUGAGGGUGCCUUCGGGAAUGCAGUGACAGGUGGUGCAUGGCUGUCGUCAGCUCGUGUCGUGAGAUGUUGGGUUAAGUCCCGCAACGAGCGCAACCCACGUUUUUAGUUGCCAGCAUUUAGUUGGGCACUCUAGAAAGACCGCCGGUGAUAAACCGGAGGAAGGUGUGGAUGACGUCAAGUCAUCAUGCCCCUUACACCCUGGGCUACACACGUACUACAAUGCUACGGACAAAGGGCAGCAAACUCGCGAGAGCUAGCAAAUCCCAUAAACCGUGGCUCAGUUCAGAUCGUAGGCUGCAACUCGCCUACGUGAAGUAGGAAUCGCUAGUAAUCGCAGGUCAGCAUACUGCGGUGAAUACGUUCCCGGGCCUUGUACACAC
rnacentral:rRNA from 1 species